rnacentral:rRNA from 1 species
ACGUCCAAGCAGUGAGAUUGAGUGUUAGGCAAAUCCGGCACUCUUAAGAUUGAGCUGUGAUGGGGAGAGGAACUUGUUCCUCGAGUCGUUGAUUUCACACUGCCGAGAAAAGCCUCUAGCUAGAAUAACGGUGCCCGUACCGCAAACCGACACAGGUAGUCAAGAUGAGAAUUCUAAGGUGAGCGAGCGAACUCUCGUUAAGGAACUCGGCAAAAUGACCCCGUAACUUCGGGAGAAGGGGUGCUCUUUGAGGUUCACGCUUCGAAGAGCCGCAGUGAAUAGGCCCAAGCGACUGUUUAUCAAAAACACAGGUCUCUGCUAAACCGUAAGGUGACGUAUAGGGGCUGACGCCUGCCCGGUGCUGGAAGGUUAAGAGGAGUGGUUAGCGCAAGCGAAGCUACGAAUCGAAGCCCCAGUAAACGGCGGCCGUAACUAUAACGGUCCUAAGGUAGCGAAAUUCCUUGUCGGGUAAGUUCCGACCCGCACGAAAGGCGUAACGAUUUGGGCACUGUCUCAACGAGAGACUCGGUGAAAUCAUAGUACCGGUGAAGAUGCCGGUUACCCGCGACAGGACGGAAAGACCCCGUGGAGCUUUACUGUAGCCUGAUAUUGAAAUUCGGUACAGUUUGUACAGGAUAGGUAGGAGCCUUAGAAGCGUGAGCGCUAGCUUACGUGGAGGCAUUGGUGGGAUACUACCCUAAUUGUAUUGGAUUUCUAACCCGCAGCACUUAUCGUGCUGGGAGACAGUGUCAGGCGGGCAGUUUGACUGGGGCGGUCGCCUCCUAAAGAGUAACGGAGGCGCUCAAAGGUUCCCUCAGAAUGGUUGGAAAUCAUUCAUAGAGUGUAAAGGCAUAAGGGAGCUUGACUGCGAGACCUACAAGUCGAGCAGGGUCGAAAGACGGACUUAGUGAUCCGGUGGUUCCGCAUGGAAGGGCCAUCGCUCAACGGAUAAAAGCUACCCCGGGGAUAACAGGCUUAUCUCCCCCAAGAGUUCACAUCGACGGGGAGGUUUGGCACCUCGAUGUCGGCUCAUCGCAUCCUGGGGCUGUAGUCGGUCCCAAGGGUUGGGCUGUUCGCCCAUUAAAGCGGUACGCGAGCUGGGUUCAGAACGUCGUGAGACAGUUCGGUCCCUAUCCGUCGUGGGCGUAGGAAAUUUGAGAGGAGCUGUCCUUAGUACGAGAGGACCGGGAUGGACAUACCUCUGGUGUACCAGUUGUCGUGCCAACGGCAUAGCUGGGUAGCUAUGUAUGGACGGGAUAAGUGCUGAAAGCAUCUAAGCAUGAAGCCCCCCUCGAGAUGAGAUUUCCCAACUUC